rnacentral:antisense_RNA from 1 species
AUUUCUGUAGGAGCGAGCUUGCCUCGCGAUCUUUUGAUCUUUUUAAAAGAUCGCGAGGCAAGCUCGCUCCUACAGUUAU